AAGGGAGACCUAAUUCGGGUAUAAGACGAAAAAAGAGUAGUCGAAACCAAGAAUCAAUCCCAAAAGGUCGGAACGAGGUAUGUGGCUUUCAAACUAGGUUCUGGGUUCACACAAGACCUGAAUCAGGAACAAGGGCUAUUAGCUCAGGUGGUUAGAGCGCACCCCUGAUAAGGGUGAGGUCCCUGGUUCGAGUCCAGGAUGGCCCACCUGCACAGGUGGCAAAAACAAAGAAGCGAGGAAUCAGCACCUUAUCUUAUCUAUAUAUAAGAGAGAAUGCUGGCUCUGAGUAAAGAGUCCAGAGGAACCUUGAAAACUGCAUAGAGCUAGGUGAAAAAGCCAAAAAAGAAGACCGCAA
rnacentral:tRNA from 4 species